rnacentral:rRNA from 1 species
CGUAAACAAAGGGAAGCGAGCCUGUGAAGGGGAGCAAAUCCCAAAAAAUAACGUCCCCAGUUCGGAUUGUAGUCUGCAACCCGACUACAUGAAGCUGGAAUCGCUAGUAAUCGCGGAUCAGAAUGCCGCGGUGAAUACGUUCCCGGGUCUUGUACACACCGCCCGUCACACCAUGGGAGUCGGAAAUGCCCGAAGUCUGUGACCUAACCGUAAGGAAGGAGCAGCCGAAGGCAGGUCGGAUGACUGGGGUGAAGUCGUAACAAGGUAUC